rnacentral:rRNA from 1 species
GAUGAACGCUAGCGGCAGGCCUAAUACAUGCAAGUCGGACGGGAUUUGGGAGCUUGCUCCUAAUGAGAGUGGCGCACGGGUGCGUAACACGUAUGUAACCUACCUUAAUCAGGGGGAUAGCCUCUCGAAAGAGAGAUUAACACCGCAUAAUAUAUUUUUAUGGCAUCGUAGAACUAUCAAAUAUUUAUAAGAUUAAGAUGGGCAUGCGGAACAUUAGCUAGGUGGUAAGGUAACGGCUUACCAAGGCUACGAUGUUUAGGGGAGCGGAGAGGAUGACCCCCCACACUGGUACUGAGACACGGACCAGACUCCUACGGGAGGCAGGAGUAAGGAAUAUUGGUCAAUGGGCGCAAGCCUGAACCAGCCAUGCCGCGUGCAGGAAGACGGCCCUAUGGGUUGUAAACUGCUUUUGUACCGGAAUAAACCCUUUUACGUGUAGAAGGCUGAAUGUACGGUAAGAAUAAGGAUCGGCUGACUCCGUGCCAGCCGCCGCAGUAA